GAAACUGCAGACGGCUCCAUUAGCAGUUAUAAUUUAUUUGAUUAUGGAUGCUUACCUUACUACUAUAUCUUUUGAGAAAUUCUUCUCAACUGUUUAUAAAGGGCAUUGUUAAACGGAUAACCUUGAGAAAUUGUGGCUAAUACGUGCUAAAUAAGCUUAAACGGCUAUGUCGAUUAGGCUUAGUACUUGUUAGUUUUAAAUAAAGGUUGAUAAACCAACUUUAAAAAAAUAGAAUUAAGUGAAAGUUAACAAUUUAUCGAAUCUGUUUAAGGGCCAAAGACGACAGUCUUUUUACCUUACCCUUAACUGGGCGAGGUUUUGACCAGCUAACUCCAUGAGUUUGUCUGGUUGAGAGUCCUUUUAAGUAAAUCAGAUGUUUCAUUCAAAUUUCUGGUCUAUCAAUUAGAAGCUAGGGUAGUUGCCUAGCUUGAUGAUAACGGGUCCGGGGAAUUAGGGUUCGAUACCGGAGAAGGAGCCUGAGAGACGGCUCCUGUUACUACGGUGAACAGCAGGCGCGAAACUUUCCCAAAUUUUGACUUAAAGAGGAAGUGACAAGAAAUAUUAACGCGGUCAUCCUCAACGGAUGACUGUACUGUUAAAAUGAGAACAAGAUAAACAUCUUACCGAUUAACAAUUAGAGGGCAAGUUCUGGUGCCAGCAGCCGCGGUAAUUCCAGCUCUAAGGGUUCGUUUAUUUUAGUUGUUGUAGUUAAAACGCUCGUAGUUGGAACUUUUUCAAUUUACGGCAUGACAUGUUAUUGUCUAAUGCUGUUAAAAUGAAACUAAAAAAGAAUGUCGGAAUUUUCUUUCCGGGUUUUUCUUUUUAUUACUGUGAACAAAAUUUAGCGUUCAAAGCAAGCUAUUUUUACUUAAACGCUCAACGCUUUUCAAGUGUGCGAGUGGCUCUGAGAAAAUUAGCAUGGAAUAAUGGAAUAAGACCUUUAUUGGGUUUUUGUUUAUGUUGGUUUUUAACCUUUUAUAUCCCAAUUGGUAAUGAUUAAAAGGGACAGAUUUAAGAACUUAGUUUUCCUUAUGCUAUUUCUGAAGGGUGAUAUUUGAUCCCGGACGGGUACAUGGGAAAUUAUGGCUAAGAUUUUUAAUUUUAUCGGGGGCGUUAAUAUUCAACGGGGAGAGGUGAAAUUCAGUGAUCCGUUGAGGAUUAACAGGAGCGAAAGCGUUCGCCAAGGAUGUUUUCAUUAAUCAAGAACGAAAGUUAGGGGAUCGAAGACGAUUAGACACCGUCGUAGUCCUAUUUUACCGUAAACGAUCUCGACUAAGGAUUGGGUCUCAGUGGUUUUUACUGUUCUUGCCUACUUUCUUUGCUUUCAGCAUGGGUAGGUGAUCGAACGUGUAAGCCCUUAUUCGACAGGGUCUCGCGAAUGAGUUUGUUCUGCAAACUCACCGGGUCCUUAAGGAAGGCUCAGGACUUGAAGGAGAAAUCAUUAAGUGAACGGAGUCUAGGGGGAAGUAUUGACGCAAGUUUGAAACUUAAAGGAAUUGACGGAAGAGCACACAAUAAGUGGAGCUUGUGGCUUCUAAUUUGACUCAACGCGGGAAAACUUACCAGAUCCGGAUUGUAGUAGGAUUGACAGAUUGAAAGCUCUUUCAUGAUUUUCAAAGUGGUGGUGCAUGGCCGUUCUUGGUUGGUGAAGUGAUUUGUCUGUGUUAAUUCCGAUAACGAACGAGACCUUGACUUACAUGUUUAACCAAGCAUGGUAGUACAAUUUUCUCUCUUUUUCUGAGAGCUAAAUUUACGUGCUUUUGGUAUUUCACAGGAUUUCGCUAAGGCGUUUUUAUUCAGUUUUUUUUAAAAACAUACGAAGAUUAACGCUGAUUUCUAUGUGGUACCAUUUGGUUUAACCUUGAAGGACGAUUCAUCUUUUAUAGUGAAAGGAAGAGCGAGGCAAUAACAGGUCUGAGAUGCCCUUUGAUGUUCUGGGCUGCAC
rnacentral:rRNA from 1 species